rnacentral:ncRNA from 1 species
CGGUUCCGCGAGGAUUAAUCGGGAAGGCGGUCAAAGUCCGCCGCAACAGCCAUUACCGUGGUCGGUUAAAGAAAGCACUAUGUCACUGAGCAAUCGGGAAGACGCUUUGUAAUAUACGCCGUAAGCCGGGAGACCUGCCGUGUGGAG